AUGCAUGUUCAUCUUUUGGCCGAAUAUUGAAGAGAAAAAGAACCAUUUGGAAGCUUUAAAGAUUCGGCACUUUGAAGCUCAAAUUGAGAUCAAGAAACGAAGAAAACGAAUUUGGAUCGGGGAAAAACGAAAGUAAUCGAAUAGUCGAUCGUGUCUGCUGAUAUCCGAGAUUUUGGAGACGCGUUACGAGCUCGGGGAUCAUCAGCAUAGUCCAUCACACUAUCGACUUCUUUUGGUAUUUUGUUAAAUAUUUGAACUUAAUCUUAUGGCAUGUAUAGGUUUGAGUACGAUGUUAAUUACAUUUUGAUUGUAAAUUAUAAUAGCUAUGCGAAAGUAAUUAAAUUUUCAUGUUGUGAUCAGUUUGGUUUUAAAAAUGGUUGUGUUUGUUCGGUAAUGCCU